UGUGAAAGGGACACAAAACUGUAUUUGAGGUUAGUGUUAGACUGUGUGUAGAUUAAUGUUACCAAAGGAAGACCGAACAUUUGAAUAAGCAUUAACAAACUCCAGUGCGCUCUGUGACUUGAGGAAGUGUAAUGAAGUGCCCUUUAGUUCCAGUGGUUCUAAACUUACUUAAACAGUUUGUUUUUAUUCCUAUUGCCAAGAGCAACCAUCCAAAUGUCCUUUUUGAUUAGAAGCCAGCAGCACUAACCUCCCUGGUCAUGAAGUCCUGGAACAUCUGGACAAAAUCCAACAGCUUCUUAGAGUUAUACAGGAUGCUACUGUAAUCCCGCUUGACCUUUCAUUUACAUCCCUAAGCUUGCAGAUGACUCAGUCAGAGACAGAAGAUAUGUACACAGACAUUCUCCUCCCACUCAGACAAAGUCCCGUCACUGAGGGUCAAGAGGUGGAAUCUGUUGUCAGCUACAAGUAGCUUGGUUCACCGUCAACAAGACGGCAACAAUUUCACUUCUGUAUGUAGUGCAGAAAUGGUUUGUGAGAGAGAUCAGCAACAAGUUUUUUUUGCACACGAAAACUUACCAAGUUUCAUGUUGGCAGGUGUCUCAUGACUCACUUUUACAAAUCCUAAGUAGGAUCAACCAUUUUCAGCUGUUUCUCUCCAUCUGUCACAUGUCACAUUGGUCAUGCUCGUAUCUAAACAAACGGACAUCCUGUUGCAUUUAUAUCUGACAUGAACGCGUCUCAGAUAUGUAGCCUUUCUUAUUUAUUUAUUUAUCGCAUUGAAAAACAUUUUGGAUUUUUUUUUUCUCUUAAUGCUGAGAUUAAGCUCAAAAUGAAUUUAAAUGAUGUUCUGUUUGAUGGCUCUAAAGAAACAUCAUGCUGAUAAAUUAACAUAUAAUUGCUCUAAUCAAAUUAGUUCUGCACAAAAAUGCAAUGAAAUUGACUCGAUUCUAGCAAAACUGUAUUUGCUACUGCGUCUAUGUUUGUGCUUCCUCUGGCUGGACAUCUUCACUCAUCACAGAGCCUGUUUGCAGGAAUCUAAGUUUUCAGUGUCCUGACCCACUUCUGUGAGUAAGCUGGUGUUGAUUGAGGUUGACAAAAAGCCUCUCCCACUUUUCCCAGAACGGUUUCCCAGCAAAGUGGGAGCAAAGUCCCCAGAGGGAGUCGUCAACUUUCCCAUUGACCGCUGGAUCACUGACAGCGCGGUUCACCUGUUCAUAAAAAGAACAGGUUUGUGGAAUUGCCUUUGACUAAUCUUGUUAUCACCAAACACAACACAUCACACCAGGAAAAGACGAAUUUCAUGAUCAUUUUCACAGCUCUAAGAACCUUUGAUGCCAAUAAUCAUCUUGGCAAGUACAGUAGGCAGAAGGAGCUGAAGCAGAGAGAGCAGAUGUAUAGGUGGGAGCAGUGCUAUGUGUUUAUGUAUAAUAUACACUCUACAAAGAACCCAAACCAGUGAUGUUGUUUAAGUUAGUGACAUAAACCUGUCUUUACUUCUGUGACUUAGAAUAUACAGAGUAUUAGAGUGUACUCAUGUCCUUUAAAAUUGUUGUUCUUCAUCAUUCUGUUUUAUAUUUCCCAGCUGGCAUGUUUAUAAAGAGGGAAUACCUCACUGCUUGAAAAGAGACACAACCCUCUUUCUCUGCCCUGUGAAGUCCACCUCUCUUUCUGCAAGGGUACAGAGUCUGUCUAUACUACGGCAUCCACUGGGCUGACGGAGCUGAAAGUGAAGGGACUCUCUGACUGCAAGCGAAAUGUAUCUGACAUUGAUGCUAUUCGUAAUGUCUUCUGCAACAAAAUAACACGCAAAUGAGCUCCUCACACCUCACACUGACUACACUCUGCAGACCAUUUGACUGUUCCCCCAGCUUCUGGUGGGGAGGGUAUGAUCACACUCCUGAAGAGAUCACCAUCCUCACUGACCUACAGCUCCUUCUGUACACCAGAUGACAUUGCUGAGCGCGGACUUGAGGAUGUGUCGAACUUCUACUACAGAGAUGAUGGGCUCAAGCUUCAGGAGAUAAUCCACAGUGUUCGUCAACUGCAGUAUGACUACAGUGAAUGGAUGCCCAACACUCCCAUCUC